UCAGUGUCGUGUCAUUGUAUUACCCGACUGAAAGGGCAGUUCGUUCAAUUUUUCAAGUCAGUAAGAAAUCAAUUCGUGUCUCGACUUUUAAGCAUAUUCAUAUGUUUCACUCUUUGUAUAUAGUUUUCACCAUUAUUGCUCUUAACACUUGAGGUGAUAGGUUUCAAAUCAGGCGGUGAGAGAUGCGGCAGACUGUGGUGCGCGGGCUGCGCAGGCGGCGCGGGGUGCGGGGAGAUCGCGGGCGAGCCGGGCUUGUCGCGCUUGCCCUCCGCCUUCACUGGAGCCUCACCCGCCUUCUGCUGAGCUAAACGCUCCUGUUUUCUAAACUUUGCUCGCCGAUUUUGAAACCAUACCUGGAAAUUAAUUAUUUUUGUAUUUAUUUUACCAAUAAACUAAUGUUUUUAAUGAUGAAUUCUGGUAUACUAA